rnacentral:rRNA from 1 species
UACGAAGUGGGCUAGCGUUGCUCGGAAUCACUGGGCGUAAAGCGCACGUAUGCGGGCUCUUAAGUCGGUGGUGAAAUCCUGGAGCUCACCUCCAGAACUGCCUUCGAUACUGAGAGUCUUCGAGUCCGGGAGAGGUGAGUGGAACUGCGAGUGUAGAGGUGAAAGUCGUAGAUAUGCGCAAGAACACCAGUGGCGAAGGCGGCUCACGGGCCCGGUACUGACGCUGAGGUGCGAAAGCGUGGGGAGCAAACAGG